rnacentral:hammerhead_ribozyme from 1 species
AUCCAGCUGACAAGUCCCAUAUAGGACGAAAUGCGCGUCCUCGAU